rnacentral:rRNA from 1 species
AGCCCGGAGAUGGAUUCUGAGACACGAAUCCAGACCCUACGGGGUGCAGCAGGCGCGAAAACUUGGCAAUGCGAGAAAUCGUGACCAGGGAACUCCAAGUGCAUCGGGUAAGACCGGUGCUUUUCUUGACUCUAAAUAGGUCUUGGAAUAAGGGGUGGGUAAGGACGGUGCCAGCCGCCGCGGUAAUACCGGCGCCUCAAGUGGUAGUCGCUUUUAUUGGGCCUAAAACGUCCGUAGCCGGUCUGAUACAUUCGUGGGUAAAUCAACCAGCUUAACUGGUUGAAUUCUGCGAGGACGGUCAGACUUGGGACCGGGAGAGGUGUGGGGUACGCUCAGGGUAGGGGUAAAAUCCUGUCAUCCUGAGCGGACCACCUGUUGCGAAGGCGCCACACUAGAACGGAUCCGACGGUCAGGGACGAAGCCUAGGGGCACGAACCGGAUUAGAUACCCGGGUAGUCCUAGGUGUAAACGCUGUGGACUUGAUGUUGGGGGUGCUCCGAGCACUCUCAGUGUCGAAGCGAAGGUGAUAAGUCCACUGCCUGGGAAGUACGGUCGCAAGGCUGAAACUUAAAGGAAUUGGCGGGGGAGCACCGCAACCUGAGGAUUGUGCGGUUUAAUUGGAUUCAACGCCGGAAAACUCACCAUAGCCGACGGACAAAUGAAGGUCAGUGUAAUGAACUUACCGGAUUGUUCGAGAGGUAGUGCAUGGCCGCCGUCAGUUCGUACCGCAAGGCGUUCUGUUAAGUCAGAUAACGAACGAGACCCUCAUCUCUAUUUGCUAACUGGAUCUCCGGAUUCAGUGCACUAUAGGGAGACCGCUGGCGCUAAGUCAGAGGAAGGGGAGGGCAACGGUAGGUCAGUAUGCUCCGAAUGCUAUGGGCUACACGCGCAAUACAAGGACAGGACAAUGGGCUGCUGCUCCGAAAGGAAUGAUAGCUAUCCCGAAACCUGUUCGUAGUUCGGAUUGAGGGCUGUAACUCGCCCUCAUGAAGCUGGAUUAGGUAGUAAUCGCGUCUCAAAAAGGCGCGGUGAAUAUGCCCCUGCUCCUUGCACACACCGCCCGUCAAACCAUCUUAGUUGUGGGUGGGUGAGGCUACCUCUCUAUGGGGUAUUCGAGCCUGCCUUCGACGAGGAGGGUUAAGUCGUAACAAGGUAUCUGUAGGGGAACCUGCAGAUG